CCUGGGCAACAAGAGCAAAACUCUGUCUCAAAAAAAAAAAAAAAAAAAAAACCCAGCCAAAUGAGUAUUGUCUCCUCCAAAGUAGUCACUCUGCCUCACAGAGUGACUUAUUUCAAAGAUGACCUGAUUUCAAAGAUGCCAGGACUUAAGCCCAGGUUGCUCUCUCCAGCGCCCACGCUUUUCCCACUGCAGUAUUCUGCCUUUGCCUUCAAGCAGUCACCUCUCGGGGAAAGAACUAACACAUGUCCAGCACUUAACAGUUUGCCCCAUACCGCUACCUGCCCAGCUCCUUUAGUGUUUACACCAACCUAGCAAGGUAGGUGCUAUUAUCCCCAUUUUCCAGCCGAGGUAUCAGGAAGUUUAAGGAAGUUGCCCAAGGUUGCACAGCUCAGAAGGGGCACAGCUGGGAUGCAGACCCAGCCCGUCACCACUUCCCCAGCCUCCACACCAAGGCCCAGCUGCCUUCUCCCCAUGUACUCCGACACCAGGGCCAGGUCCUCAGACGACAGCACAGCAAGCUGGUGGGCACUAAGGCCCUGUCGACCACAGGCAAGGCCUUGAGGACUCUACCCACGGCUAAGGUCUUCAUUUCCCUCCCACCGAACCUUGAUUUCAAGGUGGCACCCAGCAUCCUGAAGCCAAGAAAGGCUCCUGCUCUCCUGUGCCUCCGAGGCCCCCAGCUGGAAGUGCCUUGUUGCCUCUGCCCUUUGAAGUCGGAACAAUUCCUAGCACCUGUCGGAAGGUCAAGGCCAAAGGCAAAUU
rnacentral:lncRNA from 10 species